UACGUAGGCAGCAAGCGUUGUUCGGAGUUACUGGGCGUAAAGAGUGCGUAGGCGGUCCUGUAAGUUUGGUGUGAAAUCUCCCGGCUCAACUGGGAGGGUGCGCCGAAGACUGCAGGGCUUGAGUAUGGGAGAGGUAAGCGGAAUUCCUGGUGUAGCGGUGAAAUGCGUAGAUAUCAGGAGGAACACCGGUGGCGAAGGCGGCGUCCUGGACCAACACUGACACUGAGGAGCGAAAGCCAGGGGAGCAAACGGG
rnacentral:rRNA from 1 species